CGGGGUGCAGCAGGCGCGAAAACUUUGCAAUAAGCGAAAGCUUGACAGGGCUAUCCCGAGUGCCAUCCGCUGAGGAAGGCUUUUACCCAGUCUAGAACGCUGGGGGAAUAAGGAGAGGGCAAGUCUGGUGUCAGCCGCCGCGGUAAUACCAGCUCUCCGAGUGGUGUGGAUGUUUAUUGGGCCUAAAGCAUCCGUAGCUGGCUAGGUUAGUCCCCUGUUAAAUCCACCGAAUUAAUCGUUGGAUUGCGGGGGAUACUGCUUGGCUAGGGGACGAGAGAGGCAGACGGUAUUUCCGGGGUAGGGGUGAAAUCCUAUAAUCCCGGGAAGACCACCAGUGGCGAAGGCUGUUUGCUAGAACGCGCCCGACGGUGAGGGAUGAAAGCUGGGGGAGCGAACCGGAUUAGAUACCCGGGUAGUCCCAGCUGUAAACGAUGCAGACUAGGUGUUUGAACGGCCACGUGCCGUUCUAGUGCCGCAGGGAAGCUGUUAAGUCUGCCGCCUGGGGAGUACGAUCGCAAGAUUGAAACUUAAAGGAAUUGGCGGGGGAGCAC
rnacentral:rRNA from 1 species